UAGAGUUUGAUCCUGGCUCAGGAUGAACGCUGACAGAAUGCUUAACACAUGCAAGUCGACUCGAGUCUUCGGACUUGGGUGGCGCACGGGUGAGUAACGCGUAAAGAACUUGCCUCUUAGACUGGGACAACAUCUGGAAACGGAUGCUAAUACCGGAUAUUAUGGUUUUUUCGCAUGGAGGAAUCAUGAAAGCUAGAUGCGCUAAGAGAGAGCUUUGCGUCCCAUUAGCUAGUUGGUGAGGUAACGGCCCACCAAGGCAAUGAUGGGUAGCCGGCCUGAGAGGGUGAACGGCCACAAGGGGACUGAGACACGGCCCUUACUCCUACGGGAGGCAGCAGUGGGGAAUAUUGGACAAUGGACCGCAAGUCUGAUCCAGCAAUUCUGUGUGCACGAUGACGUUUUUCGGAAUGUAAAGUGCUUUCAGUCGGGAAGAAGUCAGUGACGGUACCGACAGAAGAAGCGACGGCUAAAUACGUGCCAGCAGCCGCGGUAAUACGUAUGUCGCAAGCGUUAUCCGGAUUUAUUGGGCGUAAAGCGCGUCUAGGCGGCAAGGAAAGUCUGAUGUGAAAAUGCGGAGCUCAACUCCGUAUGGCGUUGGAAACUGCCUUACUAGAGUACUGGAGAGGUAGGCGGAACUACAAGUGUAGAGGUGAAAUUCGUAGAUAUUUGUAGGAAUGCCGAUGGGGAAGCCAGCCUACUGGACAGAUACUGACGCUAAAGCGCGAAAGCGUGGGUAGCAAACAGGAUUAGAUACCCUGGUAGUCCACGCUGUAAACGAUGAUUACUAGGUGUUGGGGGUCAAACCUCAGCGCCCAAGCUAACGCGAUAAGUAAUCCGCCUGGGGAGUACGUACGCAAGUAUGAAACUCAAAGGAAUUGACGG
rnacentral:rRNA from 1 species